GCCAGGCAUGGUGGCUCAUGCCUGUAAUCCCAGCACUUUGGGAGGCCGAGGUGGGUGGAUCACUUGAGGUCAGGAGUUCAAGACCAGCCUGGCCAACAUGGUGAAACCCCAUCUCUA
rnacentral:SRP_RNA from 1 species